rnacentral:rRNA from 1 species
UACGGAGGGUGCAAGCGUUAUCCGGAUUUACUGGGUUUAAAGGGUGCGUAGGCGGGUUGAUAAGUCAGUGGUGAAAUACUAUAGCUUAACUAUGGAACUGCCGUUGAUACUAUCAAUCUUGAAUACAGUGGAGGCGGGCGGAAUGUGUCAUGUAGCGGUGAAAUGCUUAGAUAUGACACAGAACACCUAUUGCGAAGGCAGCUCGCUACACUGUUAUUGACGCUGAUGCACGAAAGCGUGGGGAUCAAACAGG